AGGUUAAGUGAAUAAGGGCGCACGGUGGAUGCCUUGGCACUAGGAGCCGAUGAAGGACGGGACUAACACCGAUAUGCUUUGGGGAGCUGUACGUAAGCUAUGAUCCAGAGAUUUCCGAAUGGGGGAACCCAGCAUCUUUAAUAGGAUGUUACGAUUGUGUGAAUACAUAGCACAUUCGAGGUAGACGCAGAGAACUGAAACAUCUAAGUACCUGCAGGAAGAGAAAGAAAAUUCGAUUCCCUGAGUAGCGGCGAGCGAAACGGGAAAAGCCCAAACCAGCAAGCUUGCUUGUUGGGGUUGUAGGACUCCAAUAUGGUAGUUCUUUCAGAUAGUCGAAUGACUUGGAAAAGUCAGUCAAAGAGGGUAAAAACCCCGUAGACGAAAUGUGGAAGACACCUAGGAGGAUCCUGAGUACGGCGGAACACGAGAAAUUCCGUCGGAAUCCGGGAGGACCAUCUCCCAAGGCUAAAUACUCCCUAGUGACCGAUAGUGAACCAGUACCGUGAGGGAAAGGUGAAAAGCACCCCGGAAGGGGAGUGAAAUAGAACCUGAAACCGUGUGCCUACAACAAGUCAAAGCCCGUUAAUGGGUGAUGGCGUGCCUUUUGUAGAAUGAACCGGCGAGUUACGAUUGCAUGCGAGGUUAAGUUGAAGAGACGGAGCCGCAGCGAAAGCGAGUCUGAAUAGGGCGUUUGAGUAUGUAGUCGUAGACCCGAAACCAUGUGAUCUACCCAUGUCCAGGUUGAAGGUGCGGUAAAACGCACUGGAGGACCGAACCCACGUACGUUGAAAAGUGCGGGGAUGAGGUGUGGGUAGCGGAGAAAUUCCAAACGAACUUGGAGAUAGCUGGUUCUCUCCGAAAUAGCUUUAGGGCUAGCCUCGGAAUUGAGAAUGAUGGAGGUAGAGCACUGUUUGGACUAGGGGCCCAUCUCGGGUUACCGAAUUCAGAUAAACUCCGAAUGCCAUUCAUUCAUAUCCGGGAGUCAGACUGUGAGUGAUAAGAUCCAUAGUCGAAAGGGAAACAGCCCAGACCACCAGCUAAGGUCCCAAAAUAUAUGUUAAGUGGAAAAGGAUGUGGGGUUGCACAGACAACUAGGAUGUUGGCUUAGAAGCAGCCAUCAUUUAAAGAGUGCGUAAUAGCUCACUAGUCGAGUGACCCUGCGCCGAAAAUGUACCGGGGCUAAACAUAUUACCGAAGCUGUGGAGUACACCUUUAGGUGUAUUGGUAGGAGAGCGUUCUAAGGGCGUCGAAGGCAGAUCGUGAGGACUGCUGGAGCGCUUAGAAGUGAGAAUGCCGGUAUGAGUAGCGAAAGACAGGUGAGAAUCCUGUCCACCGAAUGACUAAGGUUUCCUGGGGAAGGCUCGUCCGCCCAGGGUUAGUCGGGACCUAAGCCGAGGCCGACAGGCGUAGGCGAUGGAUAACAGGUUGAUAUUCCUGUACCCGUUGUUUUUGUUUGAGCAAUGGAGGGACGCAGGAGGCUAAGGAAUGCAGACGAUCGGAAAUGUCUGUCCAAGCAGUAAGUCUGAAGAGGAGUCAAAUGCUUCUUUUCUUAAGGACAAGCUGUGAUGGGGAGGGAAAUAAUAGUACCGAAGUUCCUGAUGUCACACUGCCGAGAAAAGCUUCUAGUGAGAAAACAGCGGCCCGUACCGCAAACCGACACAGGUAGUCGAGGAGAGAAUCCUAAGGUGAGCGAGAGAACUCUCGUUAAGGAACUCGGCAAAAUGACCCCGUAACUUCGGGAGAAGGGGUGCUGAUCAUACGAUCAGCCGCAGUGAAUAGGCCCAAGCGACUGUUUAUCAAAAACACAGGUCUCUGCAAAAUCGUAAGAUGAAGUAUAGGGGCUGACGCCUGCCCGGUGCUGGAAGGUUAAGAGGAGUGCUUAGCGCAAGCGAAGGUACGAAUUGAAGCCCCAGUAAACGGCGGCCGUAACUAUAACGGUCCUAAGGUAGCGAAAUUCCUUGUCGGGUAAGUUCCGACCCGCACGAAAGGCGUAACGAUUUGGGCACUGUCUCAACGAGAGACUCGGUGAAAUUUUAGUACCUGUGAAGAUGCAGGUUACCCGCGACAGGACGGAAAGACCCCAUGGAGCUUUACUGUAGUUUGAUAUUGAGUGUCUGUACCGCAUGUACAGGAUAGGUAGGAGCCGUAGAAAUCGGAACGCUAGUUUCGAUGGAGGCGCUGGUGGGAUACUACCCCUGCGUUAUGGCCACUCUAACCCGCACCACUAAUCGUGGUGGGAGACAGUGUCAGAUGGGCAGUUUGACUGGGGCGGUCGCCUCCUAAAAGGUAACGGAGGCGCCCAAAGGUUCCCUCAGAAUGGUUGGAAAUCAUUCGAAGAGUGUAAAGGCAGAAGGGAGCUUGACUGCGAGACCAACAAGUCGAGCAGGGACGAAAGUCGGGCUUAGUGAUCCGGUGGUUCCGCAUGGAAGGGCCAUCGCUCAACGGAUAAAAGCUACCCUGGGGAUAACAGGCUUAUCUCCCCCAAGAGUCCACAUCGACGGGGAGGUUUGGCACCUCGAUGUCGGCUCGUCGCAUCCUGGGGCUGUAGUCGGUCCCAAGGGUUGGGCUGUUCGCCCAUUAAAGCGGCACGCGAGCUGGGUUCAGAACGUCGUGAGACAGUUCGGUCCCUAUCCGUCGCGGGCGUUGGAAAUUUGAGAGGAGCUGUCCUUAGUACGAGAGGACCGGGAUGGACUUACCGCUGGUGUACCAGUUGUUCUGCCAAGGGCAUUGCUGGGUAGCUAUGUAGGGAAGGGAUAAACGCUGAAAGCAUCUAAGUGUGAAGCCCACCUCAAGAUGAGAUUUCCCAUUUCUUUAAGAAAGUAAGAUCCCUGAGAGAUGAUCAGGUAGAUAGGUCAGGAGUGGAAGUACAGUGAUGUAUGGAGCGGACUGAUACUAAUCGAUCGAGGACUUAACCAAU
rnacentral:rRNA from 1 species